rnacentral:rRNA from 1 species
UACGGGGGGGGCAAGCGUUGUUCGGAAUCACUGGGCGUAAAGCGCGUGUAGGCGGCCUUCUAAGUCUGGUGUGAAAGCCCGGGGCUUACCCCCGGAAGUGCACUGGAUACUGGAAGACUAGAGUACCGGAGAGGAGGGUGGAAUUCCUGGUGUAGCGGUGAAAUGCGUAGAUAUCAGGAAGAACACCGGUGGCGAAGGCGGCCCUCUGGACGGAUACUGACGCUGAGACGCGAAAGCGUGGGGAGCAAACAGG